UUGUGAGGUUAAGCGACUAAGCGUACACGGUGGAUGCCCUGGCAGUCAGAGGCGAUGAAGGACGUGCUAAUCUGCGAUAAGCGUCGGUGAGGUGAUAUGAACCGUUAUAACCGGCGAUUUCCGAAUGGGGAAACCCAGUGUGUUUCGACACACUAUCAUUAACUGAAUCCAUAGGUUAAUGAGGCGAACCGGGGGAACUGAAACAUCUAAGUACCCCGAGGAAAAGAAAUCAACCGAGAUUCCCCCAGUAGCGGCGAGCGAACGGGGAGGAGCCCAGAGCCUGAAUCAGUGUGUGUGUUAGUGGAAGCGUCUGGAAAGGCGUGCGAUACAGGGUGACAGCCCCGUACACAAAAAUGCACAUAUUGUGAGCUCGAUGAGUAGGGCGGGACACGUGGUAUCCUGUCUGAAUAUGGGGGGACCAUCCUCCAAGGCUAAAUACUCCUGACUGACCGAUAGUGAACCAGUACCGUGAGGGAAAGGCGAAAAGAACCCCGGCGAGGGGAGUGAAAAAGAACCUGAAACCGUGUACGUACAAGCAGUGGGAGCCUCUUAAUGGGGUGACUGCGUACCUUUUGUAUAAUGGGUCAGCGACUUAUAUUCUGUAGCAAGGUUAACCGAAUAGGGGAGCCGAAGGGAAACCGAGUCUUAACUGGGCGUUAAGUUGCAGGGUAUAGACCCGAAACCCGGUGAUCUAGCCAUGGGCAGGUUGAAGGUUGGGUAACACUAACUGGAGGACCGAACCGACUAAUGUUGAAAAAUUAGCGGAUGACUUGUGGCUGGGGGUGAAAGGCCAAUCAAACCGGGAGAUAGCUGGUUCUCCCCGAAAGCUAUUUAGGUAGCGCCUCGUGAAUUCAUCUCCGGGGGUAGAGCACUGUUUCGGCAAGGGGGUCAUCCCGACUUACCAACCCGAUGCAAACUGCGAAUACCGGAGAAUGUUAUCACGGGAGACACACGGCGGGUGCUAACGUCCGUCGUGAAGAGGGAAACAACCCAGACCGCCAGCUAAGGUCCCAAAGUCAUGGUUAAGUGGGAAACGAUGUGGGAAGGCCCAGACAGCCAGGAUGUUGGCUUAGAAGCAGCCAUCAUUUAAAGAAAGCGUAAUAGCUCACUGGUCGAGUCGGCCUGCGCGGAAGAUGUAACGGGGCUAAACCAUGCACCGAAGCUGCGGCAGCGACACUAUGUGUUGUUGGGUAGGGGAGCGUUCUGUAAGCCUGUGAAGGUGGCCUGUGAGGGUUGCUGGAGGUAUCAGAAGUGCGAAUGCUGACAUAAGUAACGAUAAAGCGGGUGAAAAGCCCGCUCGCCGGAAGACCAAGGGUUCCUGUCCAACGUUAAUCGGGGCAGGGUGAGUCGACCCCUAAGGCGAGGCCGAAAGGCGUAGUCGAUGGGAAACAGGUUAAUAUUCCUGUACUUGGUGUUACUGCGAAGGGGGGACGGAGAAGGCUAUGUUGGCCGGGCGACGGUUGUCCCGGUUUAAGCGUGUAGGCUGGUUUUCCAGGCAAAUCCGGAAAACCAAGGCUGAGGCGUGAUGACGAGGCACUACGGUGCUGAAGCGACAAAUGCCCUGCUUCCAGGAAAAGCCUCUAAGCAUCAGGUAACAUCAAAUCGUACCCCAAACCGACACAGGUGGUCAGGUAGAGAAUACCAAGGCGCUUGAGAGAACUCGGGUGAAGGAACUAGGCAAAAUGGUGCCGUAACUUCGGGAGAAGGCACGCUGAUAUGUAGGUGAAGCGACUUGCUCGUGGAGCUGAAAUCAGUCGAAGAUACCAGCUGGCUGCAACUGUUUAUUAAAAACACAGCACUGUGCAAACACGAAAGUGGACGUAUACGGUGUGACGCCUGCCCGGUGCCGGAAG
rnacentral:rRNA from 1 species